GUGCCAGCCGCCGCGGUAAGACAGAGGGUGCAAACGUUGCUCGGAAUCACUGGGCGUAAAGGGCGCGUAGGCGGACAAGUAAGUCGGGCGUGAAAUCCCUAGGCUCAACCUAGGAACUGCACUCGAAACUGCAUGUCUUGAGUACCGGAGAGGAAAGCGGAAUACCUGGUGUAGAGGUGAAAUUCGUAGAUAUCAGGUGGAACACCAGUGGCGAAGGCGGCUUUCUGGACGGUAACUGACGCUGAGGCGCGAAAGCGUGGGGAGCAAACAGGAUUAGAUACCCCCGUAGUCC
rnacentral:rRNA from 1 species